rnacentral:rRNA from 1 species
GACGAACGCUGGCGGCGUGCCUAAUACAUGCAAGUCGAACGCACAGUUUAUACCGUAGCUUGCUACACCAUAGACUGUGAGUUGCGAACGGGUGAGUAACGCGUAGGUAACCUGCCUGGUAGCGGGGGAUAACUAUUGGAAACGAUAGCUAAUACUGCAUAAUAUUAAUUAUUGCAUGAUAAUUAAUUGAAAGGUGCAAUUGCACCACUACCAGAUGGACCUGCGUUGUAUUAGCUAGUAGGUGAGGUAACGGCUCACCUAGGCGACGAUACAUAGCCGACCUGGGAGGGUGAUCGGCCACACUGGGACUGAGACACGGCCCAGACUCCUACGGGAGGCAGCAGUAGGGAAUCUUCGGCAAUGGACGAAAGGCUGACCGAGCAACGCCGCGUGAGUGAAGAAGGUUUUCGGAUCGUAAAGCUCUGUUGUAAGAGAAGAACGGGUGUGAGAGUGGAAAGUUCACACUGUGACGGUAUCUUACCAGAAAGGGACGGCUAACUACGUG